UCUGGUGUCAAUGCCAUAUGGGCAGUGUAAG
rnacentral:piRNA from 1 species